CUGACUGCAGAAAGGAACCCCCAGACCCGUGGCCCCAGUCAGCCCACUAUUUCACGGCUUCUAGGAGUCUGCUCUUGGGGGAGGGGUUCGGCUUCCCUCUCUGACUGCUUGGUUGUACUCAUCCCACUCCACCUGCAAACCCUACUCCUCAUACAGGCUCCGCCACGUUCCCUGCACCCCACCCCAACUCACCCAGUGUGGAGGGACUCUGCCUGGACCAGGGAAAAGUUUUCAAGGGGAAAAGUUCCAUGGAGCUGGGCAGCAAGGGGCUGUGGGGCCAUCAGAGCUGCCACCCAGGCCUGCUGCAGCUCUUGACUCACUGUCCCCACCCAAACCAGAACUCCUUGUUGAGAGGACUCCUCCCCAGGCCCUUCUCCUUCCCAAAUACCCACUGAGGCUGCAGGAGAUGGAAUUGGGUGGGGGUUAAGAGGGGGCCCUGGCUCUCUCCUUCACUGGCUGGAGCCUCAGUGUCCCCAUCUUGGAAUGGGGAAUAUAAAUUGGAAUCCCAAGCAGAACCAAGGAUGAAGGGGUCUGGAGGCCCGCCCAGCCAUUCUCCCUCCCCACCCCUCCUCCCCUGUCAUCCACAGCUGCCCAGGCUUCCCCGUGAACUGACCAGCCCUGGAGAGCCUGGGCAGUGCUGGCCUGAGCCAGAUGACCCAGACAGAGGGAGCUUUCCUGGUGUUCUCUCUGCCCCAGAGCCUCAGGGGGGACAGCUCAGCCCACACCUGCCCCACAGCUGUUCUAUUCACCCUGAAGACGUGACAGUAGCAAGCCCCUGUCAUUGGCCACCCUCGAACUGGG
rnacentral:lncRNA from 1 species